GGAGAGGUGGCUGAGUGGCCGAAAGCACCACACUGCUAAUGUGGUAUACGGGUAAAAUCGUAUCGAGGGUUCGAAUCCCUCCCUCUCCGCCA
rnacentral:tRNA from 2 species